CUUGGUCGGGUCGAAUUUGGCUCUGAUUGCUGUGUAGCAGGAUUGGCAAGGCAAACAUUGAACCCAAAUCAAGUCGCUGCCGGUGUCCACUAUGGCAGAUGCUUUUUGUGGUGGGCUGCCAAAGGAUAAGUCAAUAAGGCAAAUCAAUGACUGUCAAAUAUGCUUGGCAUCAGAGAUGUUGCACUCCCAAUCCUCUUCGGAUCUCGGAUUCAACAUCCUCGUCUCCGUCAUGAGCAUCUGGUGCACUCCACUUAACAGUGCACACGCCAACUAGUUGCCUCAUGAACGCGGCGCACCGCGGAAUCCAUCUUCCAUUCAAAUGUGCAUUACCCAAUACACUCUUUCCUCAACGGGCAUCGGGUACAUGAGUCUAACGUCUAAUUCUUCACAAAUGAGUGGCAACGACGUAAAAAAUCUGCAAGCCGUACUAGUUUCUGACACCAUCGACGCGUGCGCAAGUUAUGUUAACUCUUGCAGGCCAGCAUCCCCCUUUGUUCACUGCUCAUUACCCUCAAUCAUUAAUUCAGUUGUUAGUGCAUGGCAGAGGCGAUUUGUUAGAGGAAUGUUGUUAUCAUAGGUAGCAAUCCAAUUUGCUUGCACGAUUAUCAAUUUCUGCCGUAGAGUGAUCGUGGGUCCUGAAAAGACUUGGUGAGCUUGUGUUGCAGCUAGACAUUCCAGCGGCACUAGCUCGCGGGCACUGUCAUGCUUCUUCUGGCGAUGUGGCUGGGCACUAACUGGCUCCAUCCGGGGCCCUAAUGAGAGCUCUGCUUUCUAAGAAAGUGUAGCAAGGGACAAAAAACACCCACGCUCUUCAGUUACUUGA